GUGGCCUCCGAGGCGCCGCAGGGAGUUCUGCGUUCACUGUGGUGGCCGUGCGCCCCCUGCCGGCCACAUGAGGAAUCACUGGAAUUGAAUUUUCCAUUUCAUCUGCGUGAAUUUGCAGCCAUAUCUUGAUCACGGUAUUCCCGUGUGAUCCUUUUUCUUUAGUUGCAGGUCCUUCUAGUUGUGGCACGUGGGAUGCCACCUCAGCACGGCCUGAUGAGCAGUGCCGUGUCCGCGCCCAGGAUCUGAACCAGUGAAACCCUGGGCCGCCGCAGCGGAGGAUGAGAACUUAACCACUCACCCAUGAGGCCGGCCCCCUCUGUCUUUUUCUAACUUUGGGUUUAGUUUUUCCUUUUCUAGCUCCUUGAUGUGUAAAUUAAGAUAUUGAUUUGAGAGCUUUCUUGAAGAGGAUAUACAGAGUCCAAUAAGCAAUUGGAAAGACGUUCAACAUCAUCAGCCACUAGGAAAACACAAACUGAAACCACAAUGAGAUAUCACUGCACAUCCAUUAGAAUGGCUAAAAUUUAAAAGUUACCACACCAAAAGCUGGCGAGGAGGCAGAGAAACUGGAUCACUCACACAUUGCUGGUGGGAAUGGAAAAUGGCACAGCCCCUGUGGAAAUCAGUUUGGCAGUUUCUGAAAAACUCAGCAAUGAAAACUGAUACAAGCGACAACCUGGAUGGAUCUCCAGAAAAUUACCCUGAUGGAAAAAGCUAAUCACAAAAGAGUACAUACUGUAUGAUUUGGCUUAUGUAGAAUUCAUGAAAUGAUAAAUACAUAGAAACGGAAGAACAAAUAAGUGGUUGCCAGGGGUUAAGGUGGGGGUGGCUUCGGAAGGGAAGUGAGCGUGGCUAUAAAAGGACAAACAUGGGUUCCUUGCAGUGAUGUUACUGUUCUGUAUCCUGACUGUAUCAAUGUCCUUCCCUCUCUCCAGGCUGUCACACUGAUCUAUAGUUUUGUAAGAUGUUACCAUUGGCGAAAACUGGGUAAAGGGUACACGGGAUCUCUCGAUAUUUUUUACAACUGGA
rnacentral:lncRNA from 1 species